GUUGGCAAUGGUGGGACUAUACGCUGUGGAAGAGCGUUAGUGCGACAGCGAGGGUGGCUGGCAACGCAUCGACGGCUCGUCUCUCUGAUAUAGGCGGGCAAGGUUGGCCUCCUGGAUGCCAGAGCGGGGCUCCGGAUGGUGGGCUUGGCGGUGCUUUCGCGACGGGUGACGUCGGGUUGGUGCUGGUGUGCUAUCUUGGCCGUGUGGACGGUGAGGCAGCCCACGUGGGCGGCAUGCAGGGCCGACUUCGGACAAGGCUCCGUCUUUUGAGCAAGACCCUUUCUGUUGGUGGUCGUGGUGUGGGGAUGGACGACAACUUUCUCUCUUCGUGUUGACAGUCCCGUCGCCUAGACGGUGGCGCUCUUUAGGCAUGCAUGUUUCGACUAUGGGGUGGUGCUCGGAGCCCGCAUUGCUGGACCUCGGCGACAAUUCUCAUUCAAGCUCGAGGGAGGUGAGCGCAGCCAUCGCCCGGUUGCGGUGCCCUUUUGCUGGAGAGAGUGGAAGCAAGGGGCUCCUCCAGGCGAUGGAGCUAGAUGGCGUUUAGAUGUUGGCGAUGGCAUGGCCCCAUGUCGGCAUGUCCCCUUCAAGUGGUGGCUUCGUUCUCGGCUCCGGUUGCUUGAUCACGAAGCUGAACUCAGAAGACCCCAAGCGGUUCUCCUCUUCCAUUCAAUGUUGGCUUGUAGUUUUCUAGGGUGUGUGACUGGUCCCCCACACCUUGUAUCAUGUCGUGGGUUUUCUUUUCUUUGUUGUGUGCGUUGUAUUGUUCUUGGUUGAUAUAAGGGCUUCAUUAAUUUAAAGAUAA